UUGAUAAUUCAUCUUGUAAAAUCGCAAUACAAAUUUCAUCAUUAUGUCCUUUAUCCGACUGAGAAACUGUAUCCAACAAAUUAAAAUUCAGUUGAAUUUUUUGUUUAUGCCUACCACACCCAUGACCCAUAUUCGAAUUGAUUGAUCUACAGAAUUCAGUCCAAUCAGAGCCCAUACAUAAUAUAUGGGCCUUUAAAAACCCAAUAAGAAGUAGCUCAGAGCCCAUCAACUAAAACCCUAAAGUCUUCCUCUAUAAAAUAACUCAUCUUGUAGAAAACGAAUGAGAUCCGGCGAAAAUUGAAAAACCCUAAAUUUCCUCCGCUUCUCGCUUUGUGAUUCACUCUUUUUUUUUUCUAUUGUAUGCGGGUUUCAUAACCCUAGUCUCCAUUAGUAUAUGUAGAGGUCCACUACCAAAGACGUCGGCAUUUCUCUUGAGACAGGAACUAUCCACAUCAAAAAAAAAUUGAGUUAUUUUGUUAGUGACUGGUUGUUGGGUUUGAUUUUGAUAGAAAUAUUUGGUUUGUAACAUUUUGGAAGAUUCCAUUGCAAUGUUUUAUUCUGAUCUUGUGUGUUUGUAUUGUCCAUUAGCUUUUCUUAUUCUUUUUCAUA